UACGAAGGGUGCAAGCGUUAAUCGGAAUUACUGGGCGUAAAGGGUGCGUAGGUGGCUUGUUAAGUCAGGGGUGAAAGUUUUCGGCCCAACCGGAAAAUGGCCUUUGAUACUGGCGAGCUCGAGUGCGUGAGGGGUAACCGGAACGAGCAGUGUAGCGGUGAAAUGCGUAGAUAUUGCUCGGAAGGCCAACGGCGAAGGCAGGUUACUGGUGCGCAACUGACACUGAGGCACGAAAGCGUGGGGAGCAAACAGG
rnacentral:rRNA from 1 species